AACGCACAUUGCGCCCCCUAGCACUCUAGAGGGCAUGCCUGUCCGAGCGUCAUUUCAACCCUCAAGCGCUGUUUCGCUUGGAGUUGGGGCUCUUGCAGCGGAGUACUUUUAGUGCUUUGCAAGCCCUGAAAUUUAGCGGCGGGCUCGCCGGCACACCGAGCGCAGUAAAUUUACUUCUCGCUCAGGGCGUUGCGGCGCGGCACAGCCGACUUCUUGAAAACUUUCCAAAGUUGACCUCGGAUCAGGUAGGACUACCCGCUGAACUUAA
rnacentral:misc_RNA from 1 species